rnacentral:misc_RNA from 1 species
AACCAACCUCUUAAUUCUUGAAAGAUGGAUGGCACCAAAACACAUUGGACAUGGCUCACAGGAAGCAUAUAUUUCACAAUCUGAGAGCUCAAUUCUGUUGAGCUUCUUGCAUGCCUCUCUAACAGCUGUAACUUCAGCAUGAGCAGUUGGAUCAGUGUUUUUCAGAACCAUGUUGUGGCAGCUUACAACUAUUUCAUCAUUACGAACAACAACAGCACCGAAUGGUCCUCCAUGUCCACAUUCAACACCCUUGUAUGCUUCUUCAACCGCU